CCUUGGUUUUUUCGUAGUUUUAAAAAGCUGUUUGCUGUGACUACACUGCUAAACACCGACUGAAGAGCCACUUCUAAGACACUGUUGGUUGAACAUGGACCGUCUCAGUUUCGUCUUCUCGUUGCUGUUAAUCGUUUUGGUUACUACUGCCUUUGGAUCUGUGAUCAAGGCAAAGAUUCCAACCGAAGAGGACGUAAAGAGACUGCGAUCAGAUCCGGACCCAGCC